CACUGAUGAGGGAUGAGCUCUAACACGGUGCCAGCCUUGUCCCUCUGCUGCCUCGCAUUUAGUGCCUGCAGCCCUGAAAAAGCCACAGAAGAAUCCUGCACAAUUAGGUUACAAAUACUACCAACAUCUCCUCCCAGCUCUGGGCUUUCUGAUCCAGCAUCCCCUCACCACUGGAAGAUCAGUUGCCUGAUUUGGGUUGUUACUUGAACACACGAUUGCAGCUGCUGCCAUCAGGAAGAGGAUGGGAUUGUGCACAAGAAGCAGAGAAGCCUGUUUUAAAAUAAAAGCUGUUGUGACUGGAAUAUUUUCUUCUUGUGUUGCAAGAUAACAUUUGUAAGAAUUAUAGAUGUCCCACUAAGAAUUAUUCAUAGGGACCACCUGCAGUGUUGGUAUUGUUUCAUCUUUGUUCAGCAUUUUUAGAGCAAUUUUUAACCAUCUAUUCCUUUUCCUGCCAAGUUAUGUU